AUUUAAUUAGUUAUGCUUAUCUAAUGUUAUCUUCCUCAAGUAACCCCUGAAAAAGAAAACAAAAUCUGUAAUUUGUAUCCAGAAAUUAACAUUAAUUGCAGAUGCUGUAUCCUCGUUUUCGCAGGGUUCUUUUCAAAGGAUGCUGUUCAAAGGAAACAUCACUCUGUUCAAAUUGUGCUGGCAUGACACAGGCCAACCACAAGGCAUCAUGCAAAUGAGGCCAGCGAGCUCUGUUCAGUGUGCUUUACUGCUGUCUGCCUGGUUGUUAUAGUGAUAAGCCGAGGCCCUGAGCCUCUCCGAUCCUACUUUUAAGAUUUCACAGCAACCUUCUUUUUUUCUCCAGGGAUAAUUAGAGGAAGGAAGAAAAAAAAAAUUACAUCACGAAGAAUACCCGAGAGGAUAUCUUUAGAUUGGAGAGCACUGAGAGGAGCCUGUUCUGGCCAUGCCAGUUCUCAGCAUUGAUGCUGAGUCAGAAAUAGGUAUCCCAAAAUCCCUUUGUGAUGAACUUCCCUUAAAAGCCAUGGAGGAAUUAGAGCACACUUGCCCUCAGCCUCGCUUGGUAAGUAGACAGAAAAUGUUCCAUCCGCCUGUGAGUGAAACACAAAGGAUUUAAAGAAAGCCGUGCUUGCAGAUGCAUUGUGUAAACAAGUAAGCUGCAGAUUAAUCCAUC